UGGGGAAUUGUUCGCAAUGGGCGCAAGCCUGACGACGCAACGCCGCGUGGAGGAUGAAGAUCUUCGGGUCGUAAACUCCUUUCGAUCGAGACGAAUGGUCCUUGAGUUAACAGCUCGAGGAAUUGACGGUACCGAGAGAAGAAGCCCCGGCUAACUCCGUGCCAGCAGCCGCGGUAAUACGGGGGGGGCAAGCGUUGUUCGGAAUUACUGGGCGUAAAGGGCUCGUAGGUGGUCAACUAAGUCAUACGUGAAAUCCCUCGGCUUAACCGGGGAACUGCGCCUGAUACUGGUUGACUUGAGUUUGGGAGAGGGACGCGGAAUUCCAGGUGUAGCGGUGAAAUGCGUAGAUAUCUGGAGGAACACCGGUGGCGAAGGCGGCGUCCUGGACCAAUACUGACACUGAGGAGCGAAAGCCAGGGGAGCAAACGG
rnacentral:rRNA from 1 species